CUGUCAACUAGGCAGUCUGCUGUUGACCAACAUGUCCUUCUGAGGAGUCUGGGUAGCUACCAAAUCACGAAUAUCACCAAAACCACAAUCUCCAUCAUCACUCAACCAACAGGAAUCUCCUGAGAGCCUGCUUCAUGCUCAGCACUGUGAAACUUGCAUUGAAAAACGAAGGCACAAAAGAGAAUACAAAAUGGUUUUAUAUUAUUGGACAUGUACUAUUAUUGUCUCACUUUGGAUUGCUGGUAAAUGAGACAGAGAAAGAUGAGUCAACCUGAAAAGAUCACGAAGUAGUAAAAGAUGGAACUGAUGUUGAGCCCACCCCAUCUCUCCACAUGAUCAUCACAAACACAAUAACCCGUAACCAAAAGAUUGAGACAGAGGACUGCAAGGUGAUGGUUUGCAAAAACUUGAAUUCCAGAUGUCUCUUUCCUUCCUUUUCUCCCUCCUUCCUUCUUUAACUGUAAACUAACUGCAUUCAGAAUAUACAACUGACAUUUUAACUCAUCCUCUAAUUUUUUUUUCUUCUAUGUAAAGUAAAAAUCAAAUUCCUUUUAGGAAAAAAUGAUAAUCAAAAACUGUACAUUAAAAUAAAUAUUUCCACUAAAAUAAAUGGCUAUCACUGAAUGCAUCCAGUCUUCACUUGUGUUUUAAUUUCACAAUGACCCCUUUCCUUUUUUUUUUUCAAAUUUACGUUUCUUUGUUUUCAUGAUCAAGUUUAAGCUUGAACAUUUUCUUACACUGAACAGCUGUUAAAUGUCUGUGUUUGCAGACCAAACAAUUGUCACUAGACUGACUAUAUAGCCUAUACAGUAAGAAGGAGGAAAUUAAUCUGAUGCAACAUUUCUGAUGAUUUUUUUCCACCAGCCUAUCUAAGAAUUUGUGUGGCAGGUAUGCAAAAAUCAACUUCUAGCAAUCAAAUACAUAAACUAAAUAGAUUCCAAACGGAAAGUAUAAUCAAUCUAUCUCAAAUAGAGUAAGUGGACUAAUAAGCAUAUCAUCAGAGAUGCAUCUAAGAUUCUUUAACAUUCUUCUUUACUUCAGAAUGCCAGCUUUACUGGGAAUUAAUAUCCAAACAUCAGGCAGCUAUUGCCUCCAACAACAAUGAAGCUGGUAUGGCUUUCAGUUUAACAUCCAUGAUAUGCUUCAUUAAAUAUAUUUCAUUUUACUGUCAGAUUUUUUAAUAUGUCUCUGAGCACACUUCAUAAUUUUUGAAAGAUAUUACGAACUAAUUUGUUUCCCAGAAAGCAUACUUUCCAUGGAUAAUAAGAAUCAUGAUGCAUUUUUAUGACUUUAUGUGUAUUAAUCAAGAGCUUUUUUUAUAAUGGAAUUUUCCCUGUUCCCAAUUCUGCUUCACAUAUGCUAAGACAAUGACAAGUUGAAGUCAACUUCUAACAUUAACUUUAAACACAAAAUAUCUUAAGUGCAUAAAUAUAUUAGCAACUUUUUAUAUUGUAGUAGAAAAUCUAUUGACCUUA
rnacentral:lncRNA from 1 species